UAAUUGAAGAGUUUGAUCAUGGCUCAGAUUGAACGCUGGCGGCAGGCCUAACACAUGCAAGUCGAGCGGUAGCACAGAGAGCUUGCUCUCGGGUGACGAGCGGCGGACGGGUGAGUAAUGUCUGGGAAACUGCCUGAUGGAGGGGGAUAACUACUGGAAACGGUAGCUAAUACCGCAUAACGUCUUCGGACCAAAGUGGGGGACCUUCGGGCCUCAUGCCAUCAGAUGUGCCCAGAUGGGAUUAGCUAGUAGGUGGGGUAAAGGCUCACCUAGGCGACGAUCCCUAGCUGGUCUGAGAGGAUGACCAGCCACACUGGAACUGAGACACGGUCCAGACUCCUACGGGAGGCAGCAGUGGGGAAUAUUGCACAAUGGGCGCAAGCCUGAUGCAGCCAUGCCGCGUGUAUGAAGAAGGCCUUCGGGUUGUAAAGUACUUUCAGCGAGGAGGAAGGUGUUGUGGUUAAUAACCGCAGCAAUUGACGUUACUCGCAGAAGAAGCACCGGCUAACUCCGUGCCAGCAGCCGCGGUAAUACGGAGGGUGCAAGCGUUAAUCGGAAUUACUGGGCGUAAAGCGCACGCAGGCGGUUUGUUAAGUCAGAUGUGAAAUCCCCGGGCUCAACCUGGGAACUGCAUUUGAAACUGGCAAGCUUGAGUCUCGUAGAGGGGGGUAGAAUUCCAGGUGUAGCGGUGAAAUGCGUAGAGAUCUGGAGGAAUACCGGUGGCGAAGGCGGCCCCCUGGACGAAGACUGACGCUCAGGUGCGAAAGCGUGGGGAGCAAACAGGAUUAGAUACCCUGGUAGUCCACGCCGUAAACGAUGUCGACUUGGAGGUUGUGCCCUUGAGGCGUGGCUUCCGGAGCUAACGCGUUAAGUCGACCGCCUGGGGAGUACGGCCGCAAGGUUAAAACUCAAAUGAAUUGACGGGGGCCCGCACAAGCGGUGGAGCAUGUGGUUUAAUUCGAUGCAACGCGAAGAACCUUACCUGGUCUUGACAUCCAGAGAAUCCUGCAGAGAUGCGGGAGUGCCUUCGGGAACUCUGAGACAGGUGCUGCAUGGCUGUCGUCAGCUCGUGUUGUGAAAUGUUGGGUUAAGUCCCGCAACGAGCGCAACCCUUAUCCUUUGUUGCCAGCACGUCAUGGUGGGAACUCAAAGGAGACUGCCGGUGAUAAACCGGAGGAAGGUGGGGAUGACGUCAAGUCAUCAUGGCCCUUACGACCAGGGCUACACACGUGCUACAAUGGCGCAUACAAAGAGAAGCGACCUCGCGAGAGCAAGCGGACCUCAUAAAGUGCGUCGUAGUCCGGAUUGGAGUCUGCAACUCGACUCCAUGAAGUCGGAAUCGCUAGUAAUCGUGGAUCAGAAUGCCACGGUGAAUACGUUCCCGGGCCUUGUACACACCGCCCGUCACACCAUGGGAGUGGGUUGCAAAAGAAGUAGGUAGCUUAACCUUCGGGAGGGCGCUUACCACUUUGUGAUUCAUGACUGGGGUGAAGUCGUAACAAGGUAACCGUAGGGGAACCUGCGGUUGGAUCACCUCCUUA
rnacentral:rRNA from 1 species